rnacentral:rRNA from 1 species
UACGUCGGGUGCGAGCGUUAAUCGGAAUUACUGGGCGUAAAGUGUGCGCAGGCGGCCGAGCAAGUCGAGUGUGAAAGCCCCGGGCUUAACUUGGGAAUUGCGCUCGAAACUACUUGGCUGGAGUGUGGCAGAGGAAGGUGGAAUUCCAGGUGUAGCGGUGAAAUGCGUAGAUAUCUGGAGGAACACCGGUGGCGAAGGCGGCAUCCUGGACCAACACUGACACUGAGGAGCGAAAGCCAGGGGAGCAAACGGG